UCAGACCUGUGCUCUUUCAAUCCCUUUGUGACUUCGGACCGAAGCAAGAACCACAAAAGACAUUUCAAUGCACCUUCCCACAUUCGCAGGAAGAUUAUGUCUUCCCCUCUUUCCAAAGAGCUGAGACAGAAG